rnacentral:rRNA from 1 species
CCUACGGGAGGCAGCAGUCGAGAAUCAUUCACAAUGGGGGAAACCCUGAUGGUGCGACGCCGCGUGGGGGAAUGAAGGUCUUCGGAUUGUAAACCCCUGUCAUGUGGGAGCAAAUUAAAAAGAUAGUACCACAAGAGGAAGAGACGGCUAACUCUGUGCCAGCAGCCGCGGUAAUACAGAGGUCUCAAGCGUUGUUCGGAAUCACUGGGCGGAAAGCGUGCGUAGGCUGUUUCGUAAGUCGUGUGUGAAAGGCGCGGGCUCAACCCGAGGACGGCACAUGAUACUGCGAGACUAGAGUAAUGGAGGGGGAACCGGAAUUCUCGGUGUAGCAGUGAAAUGCGUAGAUAUCGAGAGGAACACUCGUGGCGAAGGCGGGUUCCUGGACAUUAACUGACGCUGAGGCACGAAGGCCAGGGGAGCGAAAGGGAUUAGAUACCCCAGUAGUC